CUGCUUCUUUGCCUCCUGAAGGAAAGUUACUGCAGAAAUAAUUCUGUUAAGAUCUCCUGUGUAUUCAGCAUCUUACUCCCAGCAGCUGAGUGAACUGGCCUCUAUGUCCCAUUGACAGGUGGAUCAUACAAUGGUGUUUCACAUGUCAGCAUGCCAGAGCAGUGCCACAAACAACCUAUGGCCAGUGAAAAUGCAUCUUAGAUCUGCUUUGCACAACUUUGUUUCCAGAAGACCCAGAAGGGACCAGAUUCCUCAUUGCCCUUUUCUGCUGCUGUUAUUAUCUUGAACAUCCAUAAUCCACUUGUGGUCACUUCUCAGAUCUCCCAACAAUAUGAAAGUCUUGAAGAUGAACAACUAGGGCAGCAAGUCAGUGUUAUUUCCUAUUGGAAUGGAAUUGAAGCUUUUAGCAGGAACAAGGUGUUCUGGAGUUUCCCUUAGGUAAUUGUCUGAUGUCUGUGUCAUAACUUGGUGGAUCGACAUUUUUCUCUCCCUCUAGUCUGUGCCUGUGCAAUAUUUGGUGGAAGGUGUUAAUGAGACUUCAGCAUUUAUGGCUGGUGAGAAUAAAUCAGUGGAGAUGACGCUGUCCUGUUCUCACAGCACAGAAUGAAAGCUGGUAUAUCUGUAUCCCUUGCCACGAGCACUCAGCCGUCUGGCUGAACAAUAGAGCCUGUGUUUGUGCAGCACCUCGUGGAGGGGUGUCCUUCUCCACAGCCAGCUCACCAAGCAACAUGAUACUGCAAGCAUUAAAACCCAGCAGAGCAUCCACAUGCUUCAAACCGGGGGGCUCUGGACAUGCUGCUUGAAAAUGUUUGUGGCAGUUGUCUUGGCAUUAACAUUUAGGGUUGGUUUGCAGCCCACUGAUAUUUUGCUGAGUUGGACAAAAUAGCUACGAAAGGGGAAAAAUAUUUUAAAUAGAAGGUUUUAAAUUCUGACUUUGAAACAUAUUUUGACUUAAUGCACUUCAAUCUCUGCCUAUAGAAAAUCUCAGUUUCUUGCAUUAGAAAUUAGAUGUCUAUUAUACAUGCCCAUAUGUGUAUGAAUUACAAGCAGAGGUAUGUGUAAUAGAUACGUAUGUGCAUUCUUUAACCCUGGAUGGAUAAUUAAUGUUAUAAUCCCUGAUUCCUGUGGCAAUUGACACCCUGUAUAAAAUCAUGGUCCUGCUGGGCUAGAUGCUGCUCAGAGACUAGUGCCCAGGUGUCAGCAGCCAUCUAGCCUGAGGGGUGAAGGAUUAGUCUCACGGUCUCUUCUCAUGGAUCCUGCUUCCUCAUGGACAUUUCACAUUGGUAUAUCUGAACUAUAUAUAGUGUGUAUAUAUCACACUAGGAUGUCUGAAGGCAAAGUUCCCACUCCUGUAUGUGUCAUUUGGGUGUCUGGAGGUGACAAGGCUAAGGCUGGGGAAGAGGUGUGUGGUAGACUUCAGCUAAAUCCAGCCUGCUGGAGUUAUUGGUUGUGAUCUUAACUAGAAGGUCCUUUUUCUGCUCACUUACCCUUGCACACACGCACAUAAUUGCAGUGUGAAUUCAUAAUAUAAACCAUGAUGUAAUAGACACCAACUCAACUCAACUUAAUUAGUGUACAAAUGAACAACAACUUAAAUCACAAGCAGAGUCCCAUUAAAAGUAAUCAGAUCCUGGGUGGGGAGAUGGUUAAAGGUGGUGUUUGAACUCCAAAGAAAAAUAUGCUCUUGUUUGGACAUAAUUGGGUUUCUUUUUUAUUGCUAUUUUUUCUUACAUGGUGUAUUUUUGCUCUCUCUCCCUGGCGCUCUCUCAUUUUAAUUUUUUCAACCUUUUCCUGAUAAACCAAACUAGUCUAGACAUAUCUUUUGAGAGCAAAUGUUCUCUAAGCUAUGUUCAUUCCUUGUGAGUUUGUACGUUAAUCAUUAAAUAUAAUUAAUUAGAACAUCUUGUAAUUAACUUGGAAAGCGAAAUUAUACAAGGGAAUGAGUUUGUAACCACAUCACAUUUGAAAUAAAAAUAAAACUUUGACUAAAAGGAA